GAAAGCUCUGAGGUCAUCGGCUCAGAAGCCUCUACACGACCUCCUCCACGUAUGCAUUACUCCAAGUUUGGGACAUUGAGGUCUGUGAUGAUGCCAAAGAGUAUCGAGCCGCUAAAGAAUCGAAGCUGUGGCCCAAUCCUAUGAUCCGACUCCUACUCACCCCUCCGGUGAUCUUGAGCCAUCCCUUAAGGUCAAGGAGGGGCUAAGUGGAUGGGUCAUCAUCGUGCUGUGCAA
rnacentral:lncRNA from 1 species